AUUGAACGCUGGCGGCAGGCCUAACACAUUCAAGUCGAACGAGUUGCGGACGGGUGAGUAAUGUCUGGGAAACUGCCUGAUGGAGGGGGAUAACUACUGGAAACGGUAGCUAAUACCGCAUACCAUCGGAUGUGCCCAGAUGGGAUUAGCUAGUAGGUGGGGGACAGGCUCACCUAGGCGACUAUCCCUAGCUGGUCUGAGAGGAUGACCAGACAAACUGGAACUGAGACACGGUCCAGACUCCUACGGGAGGCAGAAGUAAGGAAUAUAGCAAAAUGGGAGCAAGCCUGCUGCAGCCAUGCCGCGUGUAUGAAGAAGGACUGCGGGUUGUAAAGUACUUUCAGCGGGGAGGCGUUAACCGGAGAAGAAGCACCGGAUAACUCCGUGCCAGCAGCCGCGGUAAUAC
rnacentral:rRNA from 1 species